ACUUGUACCGAGGUUUCCUAGUGGCGAACGGGUGAGUAACGCGUUGGUAACCUGCCCCGAAGAGGGGGAUAACAGCUCGAAAGAGCUGCUAAUACCCCAUGUGGCCUCAAGGGUUAGAUACCUUGAGACUAAAGGGAGUAAUCCGCUUCGGGAGGGGCCUGCGUCCCAUCAGCUAGUUGGUAGGGUAAUGGCCUACCAAGGCUACGACGGGUAGGGGACCUGAGAGGGUGGCCCCCCACACUGGAACUGAAACACGGUCCAG
rnacentral:rRNA from 1 species